GACGAACGCUGGCGGCGUGCUUAACACAUGCAAGUCGAACGAAGUGGCGAACGGGUGAGUAACGCGUAAUCAACCUGCCCUUCUGAGGGGUAAAACAGUGGAAAAGGACUGCUAAUACCGUAUACUGAAGGGCGGGUUGGUGGUUGAUUAGCUAGUUGGCGGGGUAACGGCCAACCAAGGCGAUGAUCGGUAGCCGGGCUGAGAGGGUGAACGGCCACAUCGGGACUUAGACACGGCCCAGACUCCUACGGGAGGCAGCAGUGGGGACUCUUCCGCAAUGGACGAAAGUCUGACGGAGCAACGCCGCGGGAGUGAUGACGGCCUUCGGGUUGUAAAGCUCUGUUAAUCGGGACGCGGUACCGGAAUAGAAAGCCACGGCUAACUACGUGCCAGCAGCCGCGGUAAUUC
rnacentral:rRNA from 1 species